ensembl:snRNA U6 U6 spliceosomal RNA
GUGCUCACUUCAGCAGCACAUAUACUAAACUUGGAACAAUACAGAGAAGAUUAUUAGCAUGGCCCCCAUGCAAGGAUGACACUCAAAUUUGUGAAGCAGUCCAUAUUUUU